rnacentral:rRNA from 1 species
UACGUAGGGGGCAAGCGUUGUCCGGAAUCACUGGGUGUAAAGGGAGCUCAGGCGGAUUUGUAAGUCAGAGGUGAAACUCUGCAGCUUAACUGCAGAACUGCCUUUGAUACUGCAAUUCUAGAGUUCGGGAGAGGGUAAUGGAAUUCAUGGUGUAGCGGUGAAAUGCGUAGAUAUCAUGAAGAACACCAGUUGCGAAGGCGGUUGCCUGGCCCGAUACUGACGCUCAAGCUCGAAAGCGUGGGGAG